AGGGCAGCCUAAACCUACAACAUUAGACAAGAAAGGUGUUGGCCUUCCAAAUAAUCUGGUUUCUUCAACAUCUGCCUCCAGUAAGCACAGGUUUAAAGGCUAAGUCUGAAAACUCAGAUGAAAAGGAUUUUAAACUCCCAAAUAAUCUGUGCCCUUCUGCCUCUACUACACGAAGCAUCUCCUUAAAGUGGGCUGCACAUCCAGACUUGAGAGAAAGAGUCCCAAGGGCAAGCAUCAGGAAGCUAUUCAUGGACACAGUAAGGCAGAGUGACCUGGGAACUGAUAUGUGGGAGCCCUGUGAGUGGACAAUGCUUAUGGAACAGCAGUGCAGAAGACCCUUGAUGACCAGGGUAGGACCAGAUCAUGAGAGUCCUUCAAAGG